rnacentral:rRNA from 1 species
CAGUCGCCACGGUAAUACGAAGGGGGCUAGCGUUGUUCGGAAUUACUGGGCGUAAAGCGCACGUAGGCGGACAUUUAAGUCAGGGGUGAAAUCCCGGGGCUCAACCCCGGAACUGCCUUUGAUACUGGGUGUCUAGAGUAUGGAAGAGGUGAGUGGAAUUCCGAGUGUAGAGGUGAAAUUCGUAGAUAUUCGGAGGAACACCAGUGGCGAAGGCGGCUCACUGGUCCAUUACUGACGCUGAGGUGCGAAAGCGUGGGGAGCAAACAGGAUUAGAGACCCCAGUAGUCCCUGUCUCUUAUAA